UCCUCUUGGGGAGGGCACACUGGGGAAUAUUUUACAAAGGGCGCAAACGUGAUAACACCCCAAACGCGUGUGAGAAGAAGACCUCUUGGUUGUAUAACACUUUAAGCGCGGAGGAGAGUCCAUUUGUUAAUACCUGGAGGGAUAGGGCCUUUCUCCGCAGAAUAAGCCCCGGCUAAAUUUGUUCCAGCCGCCGGGGUAAUACAGAGGGGGCCAGCGUUAAUUGGAAUUACUGGGCGUAAAGGGGUGGUAGGCGGCUUUUUAAGUCCGAUGGGAAAUCCCCGGGCUUAACCUUGGAAUUGCCUUUGAUACUGGCAAGCUUGAAUAUGGGAGAGGGUGGUAGAAUUUCCGGUGUAGCGGUGAAAUUCGUAGAGAUUUGGAGGAAUCCCGGUGGCGAAGGCCGCCCUCUGGCCUCAUAAUGACGGUGAGGUCCGAAAGCAUGGGGAGCCAACCGGAUUAGAUACCCUGGUAGUUCCCCCCGUAAACGAUGUUUACUAGCCGUUGGGGCCUUUGGGCUUCAGUGGCGCAGCUAACGCGUAAGUACUCCGCCUGGGAGUACGUCGCAUGU
rnacentral:rRNA from 1 species